ACAGAUGAUAAAGAGGAAGGACCAAUGAUGUGAAGGCCCAGAUCCAUCAGAGUAUCAAUGCUCUUCCUCUCUCUCCUCCCCUCUCACUGCAGACAUGAAACACUGGCUGACUAACAUCCUGAUUCUGACUCUCUGGCUAGAGUGUAAAGGAGAAGACAGAGUGACCCAGCCAACAAGAGAUUUCAUUACUACUGAAGGAGAGACAGUUACUCUUGACUGUACAUUUGAGACCAGUGCCACAUUUCCCUAUUUGUUCUGGUACAAACAAGAAGUCAAUGAUUACCCAAAGAUGCUGCUGCGACGUGUAAAAACAGAUAAUUCUAAAGAGCAAGAGAGAGUUGAUGCAACAAUCAAGGAUAAGUCCUUUCCUCUGAAGAUCCAGAAGCUUCAGCUGUCUGACUCUGCUGUGUACUACUGUGCUCUGCAGCCCACAGUGACAGGAAACACCAAAACUCUGUACAAAAACCUUUGGAGCAAAGACAACACAAUACUCCACAACAUCCACCAGAGGGAGUCACACACUGUUAAACUUCAAUAUUUUUCAUGAUGUAGUCUAGAAUCACUUCAUGGAGAGACUCAGGGAGGAGCUGAGCUGUUACUGAACUAUAGAAGAGAGAGGAACUUCUAUAUUCAACAGAGUUCAAUACACAAACCAUCAACAUUACCUUU